CCCUUAGAUGUUCUGGGCUGCACGCGCGCUACCCUGAAGCUAUCAACACGUUUUCCCUCCCUGAGAAGGGCGGGUAACCUUUUGAAUCAGCUUCGUGGUAGGGAUCGGGGCUUGCAAUUGUUCCCCGUGAACCAGGAAUUCCUAGUAGACGCGAGUCAUAAGCUCGCAUCGAUUAAGUCCCUGCCCUUUGUACACACCGCCCGUCGCUACUACCGAUUGAACGUUUUAGUGAGGCAUUUGGACCGACGCAUCUCAGUUUAACCGCUGGUUUGUGUUGGAAAGACUUCCAAACUUGAGCGUUUAGAGGAAGUAAAAGUCGUAACA
rnacentral:rRNA from 1 species